ensembl:lncRNA
CAAAGAUUAACCGUUGGUACCUGACCUCAAAGAUCUACGGGUCUUGUGGGAAAGACAACCAAACAGAAAAAUGUCAACCCAGCAUGUGGCUAUGAAUUGACUCUUCUUCAGAGGAAAAAGGCCAAUGAUAUCCUGACAACCGGAAAGAAUGCCAUUCUCUUGGCUGAUAGUCUGCAUGUGGAGGAACAACAUUUCACACACAGAUGGAAGGGAAAGUUCAUCCUCCUCAGUAUAACUGCUCCUAUGGCAAAAAAAGGUCAUUUAAUCACAUGGGAGCGGCUAGACAAGAUGAUAAUAUAAAGCAGGAUUCUGUGUGCUUCUAAAUCAUCGGGGCUUUAUCAGCUGCCCCUACACCACUCAAGGAUGGGAAACCCUGAGACAGUUAAACAGAAACAUCAAAGAAUAAAGGAUGGAUGUGCCUGUUGUCCUUUUGUAUAUUUUCACAGAUAUGGCUUAGUUCUUGCCUCUAAAAUGAGAAGAACAGCAGGUUACCUUUCUAUGAGCAGUUGUGUUCACAACUGAAUCUGAAAUCCAGGGAGAAAUUCACUUUCUCACUUUAGUUUUGGUGCAAACAGAAC